UACAGAGGUCCCGAGCGUUUGUUCGGAUUCACUGGGCGUAAAGGGUGCGUAGGUGGUGGGAUAAGUCGGAUGUGAAAUCUCGGAGCUUAACUCCGAAACUGCAUUGGAAACUGUCCUGCUAGAGGGUUGGAGGGGGGACUGGAAUACUUGGUGUAGCAGUGAAAUGCGUAGAUAUCAAGUGGAACACCGGUGGCGAAGGCGAGUCCCUGGACAACACCUGACACUGAGGCACGAAAGCUAGGGGAGCAAACAGG
rnacentral:rRNA from 1 species